ensembl:lncRNA
GUUUAGGAGGACACAAAUUUGUAUAAUGACAUGGGUAUGACAAUGAGAAGGUAAUUUAUGAGGACAAUUUCAGCAUCCCCAUAAUUCAAAAGGCUUAUAAAUAAUUCAGAAUGAGUUUUUUUUUGAAAAUCUAUAAUUGCAGAAAGUUUCCUGUGAGGUUUAGGUGUAGGGUGAUAGAAAAUACGCUUUGUACAGUAUAAAAACUAUUAUGCCUAUGGAGAGUCCCCAUAAACCAUAAAAACCAACGUGUGUGUGUGUGUGUGUGUACACAUUUGGUGAAGUUUCGGUAGACUUUUUUUUUGAUUGUUAUUCCCUAAAAUUGUCACUACCGAAACAGUCACAAACAUGUUGCACUGUUUCGGUAGUGACAACACAUAAUCCUUUAUCUGGGGGGAGUAAAUAAACAACAUUUUAAUACAGUUACGCAAAUGUUUAGUAUUUUCAUAUGUUUUAGUAGUGUUUUAAAAUUCUGUAAUUUGAUGUGGUCCCUACCGAAACAUUACUGUCACUACCGAAACAUUACUGUCACUACCAAAACAUUACCGUCACUACCAAACCAUUACUGUCACUACCAAAACAUUACUGUCCCUACCGAAACAUUACUGUCCCUACCGAAACAUGGGAUGUUCUAAGAUUAUGAUUGUGUUUGGCUGAAUGCAUAUUCAAACGAAUGAAUCCAUAACUUUGAAAACAGUACGAUCAACUUUACAAACAAACACUGGAUUCAAAAUAAAACAAAUCACACUUGAAAUACUCAUAAAAUGGUUAUUGUUUUUGAGUUACCUCUAAAAGCCUUUUAGUAAAACAGCAAACAUGUAUUUACAAGGUAGAUGUAAACAAACUCUUAAUAGGUCAGUAUAGCCCUUCUUAUUAAAUGAUACAUUAUUGUGUGACAAAUUUGGGGAGAGGAAAAAUAUUCCAAAACUUUUCGAAAAUACAAUAUGAGAAUUAAUUGCACAAUUAUAUAUUAUAAAAUUUGCAUACGUACAAAAUUUGAGGAAAAGACACAUUUUGUUUCCAACGUCCCAUAUAUAAAUAUUGUGGACGUUACACGUUAUUAUAUGGGAUCGUCACCAUGCAUUGACCCUUGAACAAAGACACAGGACUGAUGUCACUGACGCCUGUGGCAGAUGUAGUGCCCCAGUUAAACAGCACCUUUACUAGGGAGGGUCAGCAGUGGCCAGAUUAGUUAAGCGCAUCUGUCCUCGGCUCGUAACUGUUGCCAUGGCAACGCCAUAGGCGUCAACGUUAACUAAAUCUGGUUUACAUCACGCUUAUCGACUCAUAAAGCUCACUGAGCAGAUUGAGAUUAUCUAAAACAAUACCGCGUUUACGUCGCUUGCGAAUUAAGUCUAAUUUAAGAUGAUAUUAGGUGCAGAAUUAAGACUUAACUCGCCUCGUAUGAUGUUAGAAUAAAUCAGCAUCGUUAAAAACCGACGAUGGCCUCGAAGGGUGUCUCAAAUCAUGCACGUAAAAGCGAAAUCCGCACAGAAAAGCCACGAUCUCCAUUCGUUUGCAUGCAUCGAGACGACAGAUGACGGUCUUACCAGGGUCUUCGCCACGUUCCCCCUCUGAGUGAUGUUUUUGCUGUGCUUCUCGUUUGCCAUGCGGAUCCUUUGUUUUGCUACCAUCUUCCGAGCCAGCGUAUAGGUAUAAAAUAAUCGCUACUGUAAAUCAAACAGGCCUGUAUUGCUUUAUGUGAGGUGACGCUUCAGUCCCCUUCCCUGCACCUGCUCCCCUAAACCGAAUUAUGCGGGACGGAAGUGCGCCUCCAUGUAGAAUAAUAACGUCUUGAGGGACACGCGCUCCCUGUUCAUCUCCCAGCUCUAUUAAACUACCCAUAUUUUUAUUUCUUGCUAAUAUUUUUGUAUUUACAAAUUAAGUAAAA